rnacentral:rRNA from 1 species
AUUGAACGCUGGCGGCAUGCCUUACACAUGCAAGUCGAACGGCAGCGGGGACUUCGGUCCGCCGGCGAGUGGCGAACGGGUGAGUAAUGUAUCGGAACGUACCAUUGAGUGGGGGAUGACUAUCCGAAAGGAUAGCUAAUACCGUAUAUUCUCUCCGGAGGAAAGCAGGGGACUGCAAGGCCUUGCGCUCAUUGAGCGGCCGAUAUCAGAUUAGCUAGUUGGUGAGGUAAAGGCUCACCAAGUCGACGAUCUGUAGCGGGUCUGAGAGGAUUAUCCUCCACACUGGAACUGUGACACGUUCCAGACUCCUACGGGAGGCAGCAGUGGGGAAUUUUGGACAAUGGGGGCAACCCUGAUCCAGCCAUGCCGCGUGAGUGAAGAAGGCCUUCGGGUUGUAAAGCUCUUUCGGCCGGGAAAAAAUCGCAUGGGUUAAUACCCUGUGUGGAUGAUGGUACCGGAAUAAGAAGCACCGGCUAACUACGUGCCAGCCGCCGCAGUAAUAC